CCCUUAGAUGUUCUGGGCCGCACGCGCGCUACACUGAUGCAUUCAACGAGCCUAUCCUUGACCGAGAGGUCCGGGUAAUCUUUGAAACUGCAUCGUGAUGGGGCUAGAUUAUUGCAAUUAUUAAUCUUCAACGAGGAAUGCCUAGUAAGCGUGAUUCAUCAAAUCGCGUUGAUUACGUCCCUGCCCUUUGUACACACCGCCCGUCGCUCCUACCGAUUGAGUGUGUUGGUGAGGAGUUUGGAUUGGCCUCGGAAGGUGGUUCGCCACCGUCCGUAGCUGAGAAGUUCUCCAAACCGCCCCACUUAGAGGAAGGAGAANUCGUANCA
rnacentral:rRNA from 1 species